UGGGGAAUUUUGGACAAUGGGCGAAAGCCUGAUCCAGCAAUGCCGCGUGUGUGAAGAAGGCCUUCGGGUUGUAAAGCACUUUUGUCCGGAAAGAAAUCCUUGGCUCUAAUACAGUCGGGGGAUGACGGUACCGGAAGAAUAAGCACCGGCUAACUACGUGCCAGCAGCCGCGGUAAUAGCGUAGGGUGCAAGCGUUAAUCGGAAUUACUGGGCGUAAAGCGUGCGCAGGCGGUUUGCUAAGACCGAUGUGAAAUCCCCGGGCUCAACCUGGGAACUGCAUUGGUGACUGGCAGGCUAGAGUAUGGCAAGAGGGGGGUAGAAUUCCACGUGUAGCAGUGAAAUGCGUAGAGAUGUGGAGGAAUACCGAUGGCGAAGGCAGCCCCCUGGGCAAUACUGACGCUCAUGCACGAAAGCGUGGGGAGCAAAC
rnacentral:rRNA from 1 species